UUCUGAAUCUUGUUAAUCAUGGAAGCAUCGUGAUUUUAGAGAUUUUAGGGUAGUGGAUGCUAUGAUCUGAAUCUCCUAAUUAAGGUAACUGAAUAAGAUUUGAUUAGCUGGUUAAUUACAAUACGUAUGGAAGCUGUAUAUUUACACAUCAUUACAAAUCGAUAAAACUACUUUAGAUCGAGGGAACAAAUCCAGCCAUGAUGAAGAAGAAUUUCGAUGUCAAUCACGAUCAAAUUCAUCUACUCAAUCGUUGUAAAGAAGCAAACUUAAUCAUUCAAUAAGGUUGAACAUAACCUUAUAAAAUGAUGUGGUAGCAUAUUAGUCUUAGGUUUUGAAAAAUGGUGAUUGGAACGGGUUUUGAGAAUUGGUUUUCGUAUUCUUUAACCAAGAUUUGUUAAGAUGUUCUGUUGAGAUCCAUAUGACGUUAAUAGAGAGAUAGACAGAGACUUCUGCAUUCUCAUAUACCAUUGACAAUCACAUGAAGAUAAUGUCAAUCUUGAUUGCUGGUAGUGUUAACUAUAGAAAGAUAUAUAUGAAGAUGUCAACCAAGUCAUGUCACCAUUUUAGUCUCAGAGGAAUUCAAUCAAAGUAUUGGUUGAUGUGGCCAUCUUUCAAGAACAUAAUGCAAUUGCGCUGGGUAUCUUAGCUAGAAACUCAGACAGAGAUAUGACUGAAGCCAUGGCAAUCAAGGAGGCUUUAAGUUGGUGUAAGGAGACUAAUACAACUGACCAGGAGGUCAUGAUUGAAUCUGAUUGCCUGGUGAUAGUCCUGGCAAUACGAAUUGCCUGGUGAUAGUCCUGGCAAUACGAAGCAGUGUUCCAAUGUUCUGGCUAGCAGGGUGGCAAUUGGCAUGCCCAUAGUUUAGCUAGAGCUUGGUAUUCCUCACUAUUCCAUCCGUGGUGUUUGGUAGAGUUGAUGUACCUCAGAAAGUUCUCAAUUGUAUUAUGAACGAUUCUCUUUGCGUUAAAAAAAAAAAAGAUCUAGUUUGUCCA